UUUCCUUCGGGACUGAUUAUUUUGUGACUGAGUGGCGGACGGGUGAGUAACGCGUGGGUAACCUGCCUUGUACAGGGGGAUAACAGUUGGAAACGGCUGCUAAUACCGCAUAAGCGCACGAGAGGACAUCCUCUUGUGUGAAAAACUCCGGUGGUACAGGAUGGGCCCGCGUCUGAUUAGCUGGUUGGUGAGGUAACGGCUCACCAAGGCGACGAUCAGUAGCCGGCUUGAGAGAGUGAACGGCCACAUUGGGACUGAGACACGGCCCAAACUCC
rnacentral:rRNA from 1 species